AGUGAACGCUGGCGGUAGGCCUAACACAUGCAAGUCGAACGGCAGCACAGUAAGAGCUUGCUCUUACGGGUGGCGAGUGGCGGACGGGUGAGGAAUACAUCGGAAUCUACUUUUUCGUGGGGGAUAACGUAGGGAAACUUACGCUAAUACCGCAUACGACCUACGGGUGAAAGCAGGGGAUCUUCGGACCUUGCGCGAUUGAAUGAGCCGAUGUCGGAUUAGCUAGUUGGCGGGGUAAAGGCCCACCAAGGCGACGAUCCGUAGCUGGUCUGAGAGGAUGAUCAGCCACACUGGAACUGAGACACGGUCCAGACUCCUACGGGAGGCAGCAGUGGGGAAUAUUGGACAAUGGGCGCAAGCCUGAUCCAGCCAUACCGCGUGGGUGAAGAAGGCCUUCGGGUUGUAAAGCCCUUAUGUUGGGAAAGAAAAGCAGCAGGUUAAUACCCCGCUGUUCUGGCGGUACCCAAAGAAUAAGCACCGGCUAACUUCGUG
rnacentral:rRNA from 1 species